rnacentral:rRNA from 1 species
UAGUCCAUGCCGUCAACUAUGAGAGCUCAUCUUAGAAAACUGAGAUUUAGUUAACACGUUAAGCUCUUCGCCAGGGAAGUACGAUUGCAAGGUUAAAACUCAAAGGAAUUGACGGGAAUCCAUACAAACGGUGGAGCAUGUGGUUUAAUUCGAAGCAACGCGCAGAACCUUACCUACCCUUAACAUUUCACGACGUAUACAGAGAUGUAUAUUUCUCUUCGGAGACGUGAGGAUAGGUGCUGCAUGGCUGUCGUCAGCUCGUGUCGUAAGAUGUCUGGUUAAGUCCAAUAACGAGCGCAACCCUUAUCCUUAGUUACCAGCAUUAAGUUGGGGACUCUAGGGAGACUGCCGGUGUUAAACCGGAGGAAGGCGGGGAUGACGUCAAGUCCUCAUGGCCCUUACGGGUAGGGCUACACACGUACUACAAUGGCAGAUACAAACCGUUUGCAAAGCCGCGAGGUUGAGCUAAUCGGUAAAACACUGUCCCAGUCCGGUUGAGUCUGCAACUCGACUCCA